rnacentral:lncRNA from 1 species
GCUGCUUACCUUGCUAUGCCACAUGUAAAUUCAUUGGCUGUCGGGUGCAGCCUGCUGGCAACGACGACUAAUGUGCACACAGCACAGAAGUGUGCCCCCUCAUUACAAAUGCAUUGAACCGGAACUGAAAUCACACGCAGCCUCUAUUUUUUUAACCAAUCUGAUCGCAGUUGAUUUAGUACGUCAGGUGUGGCCAUAAUAAGAAUGCAUGUGCUUUUUCAACUUGAAGGGACUUGGGCAAUACCAUUUCAAAUUAUUACAUAACUAAAAACGAAAUGUUAUUAAAUGUUAACAUUCAAAUACACAUUCACACAGAAUGCACGGUUUUAAUCCUGUCAGAUAAGCACACUGCAAGCCAUCUCAUAAAUAGUAUAUCUUAGUUUUUUUACAGCUGCCUGUAGGACCUUCUACACUUCAAAGUGAAUGUAUUUGUAUAUUUAUCCUGAAAUAGGUCCUUAAUAGGCUAUACAUUAUUAGAAGGGGGAUUCUUCACUUGCAUGUGAAAGGGUUAAAUGCAACUAUUCAUUGUUGUCACACUAUGCCAUCAAAACUAACUUUGUGUUUUUUUUCUUCUUCAUUUGCAUAUUUAUGGGACACUGAAGACCAUUCAAAGCUCACGGCAGAAAAGAUGGCACAGGUGUGGAAGGUCGUCGAAUUCAAAGAUAGGAGCACUACCAUAGUGCCAAGCAGCUGGUUGGAGGAGGCAGGGGAGUCAUGGAAUUGUUUCUGGCCUCCUAGUUCUUAUGAUCAUAUCCGCCUCCAGAAGGCAGUCGCGCACCACCUUCCUCCAGGUGCAGCGUGGGACGUGCACGGUGACGUGAGGGUCUUGGUUAGCUGUGGUAAGGAAAAAUGCUGCAUAUGAAAACGUUUCUAUAAGAUUCAACUUGCUCAAUUUCACUAAUGCAUGCCAUUCCCUUUCAGCAACAUAUGUUAAGGCAAAGGACUACCUGAAAAAGUCCUUACAGUGCUUAACAUCAGACAAGACCCUAUCAGAAGGAAAAGAAGGUAAAAAACAAAAAAUGUUCUCCUCUCCAGAGGUGAAUGGGGCCACACAUUCCCGCUAUCCAUCAGACCCUCCCAACCCUCUAAGCCCCUUCCUUGGAUAAACGACUCCCUUCCAGUGGCGUUUCUACAUUAGGGGCAGGUGGGGCAGUGCCCCACCAGACCCACGAGAUGGCGCUGUUGAGCAGAAGGCGCAAUCCAUUCUACUUCGUGGCAAACUAUAUAUAUAUUUUUAUAUGCAAAGUAGCGUACAUAUUUGUGUGAAUAAACUUGACUCACAAGCAUUAUAGCCUUGUUUUGGAGUAAUUUGAU